CCUACGGGAGGCAGCAGUGAGGAAUAUUGGUCAAUGGGCGCGAGGCUGAACCAGCCAAGUAGCGUGAAGGAUGACUGCCCUACGGGUUGUAAACUUCUUUUAUAAAGGAAUAAAGUGAGGCACGGGUGCCUUUUUGUAUGUACUUUAUGAAUAAGGAUCGGCUAACUCCGUGCCAGCAGCCGCGGUAAUACGGAGGAUCCGAGCGUUAUCCGGAUUUAUUGGGUUUAAAGGGAGCGUAGAUGGGUUGUUAAGUCAGUUGUGAAAGUUUGCGGCUCAACCGUAAAAUUGCAAUUGAUACUGGCAGCCUUGAGUACAGGUGAGGUAGGCGGAAUUCGUGGUGUAGCGGUGAAAUGCUUAGAUAUCACGAAGAACUCCGAUCGCGAAGGCAGCUUACUAAACUGCCACUGACAUUGAUGCUCGAAAGUGUGGGUAUCAAACAGGAUUAGAUACCCGGGUAGUC
rnacentral:rRNA from 1 species